AGGGUAAUAGCUCAGUGGCAGAGCACAUGAUUAGCAUGCACGAGGCCAUGGGUUCAAUCCCCAGUAACUCCA
rnacentral:tRNA from 1 species